GAUUCUCUUUUUGCCAAAGUCUUU
rnacentral:siRNA from 1 species